UACGAAAAAAAACCUACGAAAAUUAACCAGUCCCUCGCACGUACGAGCGAUUCCUCCUGCCCUCGAAGCACUCGCACGCACGAGUCGUUCGCCGCCGCCCCGUCUCUGAUCUCCCUGCCGCCGCCCCGUCUCCGAUCUCCCUGCCGCCGACCCUUGCCGCCGCCCCGUCUCCGAUCUCCCUUGGCCGCCGCCCUAGCACAUCAAGCCGCCGCCGAUCCAUGCGCUACCUCGUCGGGAGCCAUCGAUCUUCUUCAGGAGACGCCGCCGAUCCCAUUGAUGAGCCGCCGCCGACCAUGUCCCCUGAGCCGCUGGCGCUGGCCAGGCUCCAGACCGAUGGACACGCCAGCUCGCCGCUCCUCGGGGCCAGCCCCUCCCGCCGCGCCGGAUCACGCAUCGGCUUGGGGACCCCUCGGGGAUGCCGCCGGUGCAGGAGGCGUCCGCGACAGUGUGGGCUGGGGACCGAGCGGCUGGGCAUGCCGCGUCCAGGGCUUGGUCGGGCUGGCGUGAGCCGCCGUCGAUGAAAUUUUGGCUGAUUGGCUGCACGUCGCUUCGGAUUUGGUACUAUCCCCAUCUCUCUCUGAGACACACACACCACUUUCUCUCCGUCUCUCUCUCUCUCUCUCUCUCUCUCACAGUGUCUGCUUGUGCUGGCUGACGAAGGUGCAUGUGUGUGUGUGCGCGCACGCGUGUGAUGUGCCGCUGACCGCUUUUAUGUGUGCUUGUGGCGAUGCUGCCUGUGAGUGAUUUUUGCCGCUAUCCUGCAUGACUCUUGUGCCUCGAGGAUGAGAGGAAGCCACCCAGAAAAUGGCCAGAAGGAAGCACCAUAUGUGUAGGUGUGCUCAUGUGUGUUAGAAGUUAUAAGAUGAUGUAUACUCUGACAGUGCUUUGGCCACAUAAAAGGUAAAUCCAUCAUUGUGGAGAUGUCGAAGUCAUCACAAAAACAAGCAUCUGAACUUUCUUUUUGGGAUGAAACAAAUAUGCAGACUAACAGUAUCAUGUUUUUUUGACAUCAACCAAUAUCAUGGGUUGGUUCAGGACUUCAGGUAUAUAUCACCAGCAUAAAAAUCUAUUAACAUAGCAAUUGUUACUUUUUUUAGCUACUCUCAAAUGCUUCUCUAUUUUAAAUACCUAUUAAAUGUUGUCACAAUCACCCUAUUUCAACCGCACUGAGGGCUGUGGCAGGAAGGAGCCCACCAUCGGCAUCGCCCAUGGCCAAGCAGACCGAGGACCCAACGCCCUCAAGACAAGGACACGGCGGAUGAUUCCUCCUUGACUUUCUACCAGCUGCGCCCCUGACUGUGUCCACAGCGUCCCGACACCAUGUUCAAGACCAAGUUCUAACCCAGAUAUCCAAUCUCCCUCCAUGGAUCUUGCCUCUCAUUGACCAAGAGCAACAAUUCAACUCAAUUUCAGAUUUACAAAAGAGAUGGACCUAGAGCAAACAACCUAUGAGGCUUGGUUCGUGUACAUCGACAACGUUGUAUGGUGGUGAAGCUUCUUCACAUCCCCUGACCAGACGCUGCAUGCUCUGCUCGUUGAAGGUGCCCGCUGUUUGUGUUUGGAUGUUGUUGCUGGCGUAUGUCAAGUGUGCUACAUCUGGUCGCUCAAGGCCAAGGAGGUGAUGAAAGGCUUCUUCAUAAGUUUUUAGCUGUCUGAUUCAAGUCCAUAUAGCUUGCAAGAUGAUGGCGUAGUGUUAUCUGACAUUUUAUCUGUAUUUGAUUAAAUGUCUUUCCCUAGUGCAAUGGAAUAAAAUUUUAGAAACAACUGUUGGUUACUAUUAUUUGUGAAUUCUAUUUAACGCUUCACAAUUUUUGAAUAGUUUAGUUUGUGCUUGCUUAA